rnacentral:lncRNA from 10 species
CUGUUGCAGCGGGCGGCCAGGGCUCACCUGCGCGGAGACCGGGCCGAGGGGCGGCGGCGGCGAGCGGCGGAGCUGAGGUCCCCGAGGCUAGCCCGCGCCUCCGGCUUCCGCCGGGUCAGCUGACUGCCCAGUGCGGAACUGUGCGCCCGCCGCGCUCCCCUGCCGCGCUCCCCGCUGCUGCCGCCGCGCCCCCGCGCUCCGUCCCGCGCGCCCGCAGCGUCCUGGCCGCCAUGGCCGGGCUCGUGGUGCGUGGAACUCAAGUGUCCUACAUAGGCCAGGACUGCAGAGAAAUUCCAGAGCACCUUGGCAGGGACUGUGGACAUUUCGCAAAGAGGCUUGAUCUGAGCUUUAACCUUCUGAGGUAUG